rnacentral:rRNA from 1 species
UCGGGAAUAUUGCGCAAUGGAGGAAACUCUGACGCAGUGACGCCGCGUGCAGGAAGAAGGUUUUCGGAUUGUAAACUGCUUUAGACAGGGAAGAAAAAAAUGACAGUACCUGUAGAAUAAGCUCCGGCUAACUACGUGCCAGCAGCCGCGGUAAUACGUAGGGAGCAAGCGUUAUCCGGAUUUAUUGGGUGUAAAGGGUGCGUAGACGGGAAGACUAGUUAGUUGUGAAAUCCCUCGGCUUAACUGAGGAACUGCAACUAAAACUAUCAUUCUUGAGUGCUGGAGAGGAAAGUGGAAUUCCUAGUGUAGCGGUGAAAUGCGUAGAUAUUAGGAGGAACACCAGUGGCGAAGGCGACUUUCUGGACAGUAACUGACGUUGAGGCGCGAAAGUGUGGGGAGCAAACAGGAUUAGAUACC